GACGAACGCUGGCGGCGUGCCUAAUACAUGCAAGUAGGACGCUGAAGGAGGAGCUUGCUUCUCUGGAUGAGUUGCGAACGGGUGAGUAACGCGUAGGUAACCUGCCUGGUAGCGGGGGAUAACUAUUGGAAACGAUAGCUAAUACCGCAUAAUAGUAGAUGUUGCAUGACAUUUGCUUAAAAGGUGCAAUUGCAUCACUACCAAAUGGACCUGCGUUGUAUUAGCUAGUUGGUGGGGUAACGGCUCACCAAGGCGACGAUACAUAGCCGACCUGAGAGGGUGAUCGGCCACACUGGGACUGAGACACGGCCCAGACUCCUACGGGAGGCAGCAGUAGGGAAUCUUCGGCAAUGGACGGAAGUCUGACCGAGCAACGCCGCGUGAGUGAAGAAGGUUUUCGGAUCGUAAAGCUCUGUUGUAAGAGAAGAACGAGUGUGAGAGUGGAAAGUUCACACUGUGACGGUAUCUUACCAGAAAGGGACGGCUAACUACGUG
rnacentral:rRNA from 1 species